GGAUGGCCGGGGAGGAGGAAGCAGACGAAACGCUGAAGAGAGGAGGAGCUUUCCAGCGUUCCGUCUGCUUCCUUCUCUCCAGCCUUCCC
rnacentral:pre_miRNA from 1 species